GAGUGUUGGGUUAAGUCCCCGUAACGAGCGCAACCCUUGUCCUUAGUUACCAGCACGUUAUGGUGGGCACUCUAAGGAGACUGCCGGUGACAAACCGGAGGAAGGUGGGGAUGACGUCAAGUCAUCAUGGCCCUUACGGCCUGGGCUACACACGUGCUACAAUGGUCGGUACAAAAGGGUUGCCAAGCCGCGAGGUGGAGCUAAUCCCAUAAAAACCGAAUCGUAGUCCGGAUCGCAGUCUGCAACUCGACUGCGUGAAGUCGGAAUCGCUAGUAAUCGUGAAUCAGAAUGUCACGGUGAAUACGUUCCCGGGCCUU
rnacentral:rRNA from 1 species